GACAGAGGGUGCAAACGUUGUUCGGAAUUACUGGGCAUAAAGCGCACGUAGGUGGUCCGCUAAGUCGCGUGUGAAAUCCCCCGGCUCAACCGGGGAAAUGCGCGUGAUACUGGCGGGCUUGAGAUCGGGAGGGGUGAAUGGAACUCCAGGUGGAGCGGUGAAAUGCGUAGAUAUCUGGAGGAACACCGGUGGCGAAGGCGGCAUCCUGGACCGACACUGACGCUGAGGAGCGAAAGCCAGGGGAGCAAACGGG
rnacentral:rRNA from 1 species